rnacentral:rRNA from 1 species
GACGAACGCUGGCGGCGUGCCUAAUACAUGCAAGUCGAGCGAAUCACUGGGAGCUUGCUCCCGGUGGUUAGCGGCGGACGGGUGAGUAACACGUGGGCAACCUGCCUGUAAGACUGGGAUAACACCGGGAAACCGGUGCUAAUACCGGAUAAUCCUUUUCCUCUCAUGAGGAAAAGCUGAAAGUCGGUUUCGGCUGACACUUACAGAUGGGCCCGCGGCGCAUUAGCUAGUUGGUGAGGUAACGGCUCACCAAGGCGACGAUGCGUAGCCGACCUGAGAGGGUGAUCGGCCACACUGGGACUGAGACACGGCCCAGACUCCUACGGGAGGCAGCAGUAGGGAAUCUUCCACAAUGGACGAAAGUCUGAUGGAGCAACGCCGCGUGAGCGAUGAAGGCCUUCGGGUCGUAAAGCUCUGUUGUUAGGGAAGAACAAGUACCGGAGUAACUGCCGGUACCUUGACGGUACCUAACCAGAAAGCCACGGCUAACUACGUGCCAGCAGCCGCCGUAA